AUACGGAGGGGGUUAGCGUUGUUCGGAAUUACUGGGCGUAAAGCGCACGUAGGCGGAUUGGAAAGUAGGGGGUGAAAUCCCAGGGCUCAACCCUGGAACUGCCUCCAAAACGAACAGUCUAGAGUUCGAGAGAGGUGAGUGGAAUUCCAAGUGUAGAGGUGAAAUUCGUAGAUAUUUGGAGGAACACCAGUGGCGAAGGCGGCUCACUGGAUCGAUACUGACGCUGAGGUGCGAAAGCGUGGGGAGCAAACAGGAUUAGAAACCCUAGUAGUCC
rnacentral:rRNA from 1 species